UACGUAGGGACCAAGCGUUGUUCGGAUUUACUGGGCGUAAAGGGCGCGUAGGCGGCGUGGCAAGUCACUUGUGAAAUCUCCGGGCUUAACUCGGAACGGCCAAGUGAAACUGCCAUGCUAGAGUGCAGAAGCGGCAAUCGGAAUUCUUGGUGUAGCGGUGAAAUGCGUAGAUAUCAAGAGGAACACCUGAGGUGAAGACGGGUUGCUGGGCUGACACUGACGCUGAGGCGCGAAAGCCAGGGGAGCAAACGGG
rnacentral:rRNA from 1 species